GUGUUCCAGAGGGAACUCUCAGCACCACCAUAUAGCUCUCACCAUUUCUAUCACCCGAUAAUUAAGUAUGCUUUUAGUUAUUUCUUCCUUUGUUGCAUAAUUCAUCAGAGGAUCCAUCAUUUCCAUUUUUUAUAUAUAUAUUUUUUUUUACAUAGAAAAGUCAUUCUUCUAAGUUACAUGCACUUAUGUGUCAUUGAUGAGUGCCAUAAGUGUCCUUUCUUUUUCCACUUAUCUCUUAAAAACUUUUCUUUCUUGUCUUUUCCUGGUGAAGAUAAUCUGCUCACCCCUCAAGGACUGUAUUGCUGCAUUGCUAAAGAUUCUCCAGAUCUUCUUACUGUUCUUCAUAAAUAUGAAUAAUUAUUUAUUUGUAUUUAUUUUCUUCAGAUUUCUGAAAUAGCGGAUUUGUGAGCUGGCUGCACCAUGCAUCUAUUGGGGUCGUUGCUGCUUUCUUUACCAGCCCAACAAGGGAGAAAGCUCAGUGAGCGCUUAUGUAUUUCUAGCACCAUGUCCAGCGGUCUGCCAUCUGGGUAAUGGGGAAGCUUUUCUCUACUGGAGAGCUGGGAGCUGCUCUCAUAUCUUAUAAUAAGACGUGAAAAAUAACAGAACAGGACUUUCUAGCACCUUAUUGGAAGAGGACUGGCUGUCUGCUCUUUCUCAGCCCUUGGCUCCUUCCUCCCCACCAAUUGAAGUCUAUUAGGACAAUGAGCAGGUAAAGCCUCAUAGCGAUUUUUCUUCCAUUGUAUUCAUUUAAAGCGAUGCUCAUUAUAAGACAUGCUAGCAGCGCCUUGGAUGGGGCAUAUGCCAGGCACAACUAUUGACUGAUGCU